CAGUGUCAAAGAAACUGUGUGCUCUCUAGCGACCUCUUCUCUGCUCUACUAUGAAGCAUCAAGGUUUCCAAUGAGGCAAAGCAUCGAUCCCUAACAAGCGAGUAUUUGGACGAUAAGUAUCCUCAAUACCCUUUGCUGCCUCAUGACGUUCCCAAAAGAGCACUCAAUUUUCAGGUUGCACAUAUUGUUUUGCAGAAUAACUUCAUUGAGAAAAAAGGUUGGCCCUCAUGAAAAACUUCCUUGGGCACAAAGUGUCAUUAGAAAGGGCUUCACAGGUGACACUUCACUGAAUACCAUUAAGAUAUAUUCUGGUUUGUUACUUCCAAACCAAUUAUUCAUUUGAGUGGUUUUUUUUCUUGCCUUAAUUAAAUGUUGCAUAUUUUUCAUUAUUUUAAGCACUUGAAAAGCUAUUGAAAGAUCAUGCAGGGAGAUAUGCCACUGGAGAUGAAAUUUUUCUGUCUUCAAUAUGUAGUGCAAGAUCACUUGGAGGAUUUUAAUUGGUGUUGCCAUGGAAAAUGUAAUCCGACAGCCCAUUCCAAAGCAGCUCCGCUAGGAAUGAACAAGGGAAUGAACACUAAUACAAUUGUUAAGGCCAAGAGUUUUCUUGAUGGUGACGAAGAUCAGCAUGAAAAAGAUGUGUUUGAGAAGAAUUUGAAGGCGCUUCAGAAGAUUUUUUAGUCAUUAUGCCAAGAUUAAAAGAUUGACGAUUUUCUGUUUGUUAAGCUCUUGUCG